UGAUUCAACAAUUUGUACGAAGAAUCCUCGACUGUCUUCAUUUGUAGGUUACAAUAGUUUCAAAUUUGCCACGUUAACCAUCGACCACCUUGAUCACAUAAAAAUAAAUGAUGAGUCGCCAUGAUGUUUAAAAAUAAUCAGACAUUAUAACGAACAUGAAUUUAUGAUGAUGCCGUAAUACUUUCCAACCAAUGAUAUGCAGGAGUUUAAAAUGUCGACCAAUCGCAAACGAUGUGUCUCAUAACAUAUUUAUCAUCCAUUCUUAGAUACGUCGAAAAAAUUAAAAUGGAACUUUCAACAAAACCUUUUCAAUACUAUACAGAAUAUGGUACAUGCAAUGGAUAGCAUAGCACGCGUUAAAUAAUAGGAAAUUGAAAACUUUGGCAGCGAUCCAAGCGUGCAUCAUUUUACACCGACAUCUUGUAACAUGGACUUGGUCGUCAGUGAGUUACAAUACACGAUGGUCAUAUGAUAUGGGCGCUAAAACGAAUUAAUUUACUUAUU